rfam:Picea glauca, whole genome shotgun sequence.
CCCUAUGUAUCCCCCCCUUCCUCUCAUUCUCUAUCUAGCCCCCUUCUAUGUCUCCCUCUCUUCUUCCCUUCUUCUCACUAUCCCUCUCUCUACCCAGCCUCAACUCAGAUUGCAACCUGAAACUAGCCUGCAUGAAGCUGAAAUCUAUAGUAAUCGUCGAUCAAUCAUACGGCGGUGAAUCGAUUCCCGGGUCAUAUACACACUGCUUGUCACACUAUGGAAGUUUUCCAUGCCCCAAAUCGUUACCUUAAUCACAAGGAGGGGUAUUUUGAAGGAUGGGCUAAUCACUAGAGUGAAUUCAUAACAAGGUAGCUAUACUAGAAAGUGCAAAUGGAUCACCUCCUUU